CUACCUCUUGACACUGAUAUGGACCAUCAUUAUACAGCCCGACACCUAUGGUUCUCUUUGUUUGUAAUUUUGUUUUACUGUUGUGGAGUAGAAAUGAUGCUUUUAAAAUUUAUGUCUCAGAGUUUUAAUAAUUUCAUGGAGUUCGGGAGGUUGAUUCUCAUGUCUAUGAGACCUGAGAUAUACAGUGUUCACGAUCCUUAUGUUUGGUCUUGCUGUGUUUUUAAGAAUAAGAAGAAAGAAACAUGACAUUCAUGUACUGGAUAAAUUGUUGAUGUCUAUCUCAAUGAGUUCACAAAGUUUAUUACCUUCAUCAGGUACUGUCGUUGAUACUUAGCAAAUUUGCAUUAAUUUUGGUGUGAAUUGAUGGUGGUCUUCUUACCCUGCAAAUGAAUCUAAAGAGAUUAGAGGUAGGUGUUGUCGUGUCGAUGAUGUUUUAUUGACUGGAGCUCAUAUUUAUACAAGAUUGUAGGACUAGAGUCGUAACUACACUAAUACCUCAUAUUUAUCUACAGCUAACUACUGCACUGUCCUCUGUGCAAUAAUAGUUAUGUAUAAGUAUAACUCUACGCGAAUAAACACACAUUUUUUUGGAAGAAUAAUAUACACACGAAUAACAUAUAAUACUAUGAUAUUAAUCCAUACAAACUAACUUUAACUGUUUUUAUACUGAUCAUAUUUAUGUUUGUCGCAGCGUGGUCUUUGCAAGCUCUCCAUUCUUUAUGUCAGCUGAGGCUGCUGCUGCAGUAUCAGACAACUUUCCAUUCUGACGGCCGGAAAAGUCUACCCAUUUUUGUUGAAACUGGCGUCAUUCCUCAGGUUAGCUGAAAUCCACAGUUGAGGGUUUAAUUAAAUGAGCUUAUGUGUUGUUUAAAAUAAGCUGUGGAAUCAUGCCUUACAUAAAUAGAUCUGUGUAACUUUUAUCUUCGAAUUGUCCUAAUUACCAUGCAGUAUUCAGAUCUAUAACUCAGAAUAGUUGCAUUAAUUUAUAAAAAAGUUAUCACAGUUGAAAAAGUGGUUUACAGCUGACUUUCUUCCGUUGCAUUAACACUCUCAUGACCCCAUACUAUUUUGGAGGUUUCAUAGCUUUUUUAAUAUUUUUAGGUAUUUGUUUCUUGUUGAGAGCAUAUAUAAAUACUCUGUAAGAAUUGCUAAGACCAUCAUAGCUGAUUUGACGAGCAAUCGGAUAUUUUGUGCAAUUUCUUACACCUUUCCUUAGAGCAAUAAUAACUUCUAGAUCACUCAAAUCAUCACCCUCUUCUUCAAUCUCUUCAAUUAUCACUUCUCGAUCAGCAUUCGUAAUUCCCCCUUCACUGUUUCCUGUCUCAAAAGUAUCAUCCUCAAUCACAUUAAUCUUUAUUCUUUGAUAAACAAAAAGAGGUUUUUCUAAUGGUUCCUUUGAUGACAUUUGAGACUCUCCCCUGACUUACAACAUCAGUUGGGAGCUCCCCAUGACUUAUAACUUCAGAUGGAGUGUCUUCUUCCUCUAAACAAAUCGUAUCCACGAGGCUAUGGUUGCCAUCAUUAUCUGUCUGCUCCCCCUGAAUCACAGUGAUAGGAAAGUAGGUCUGUGAUUCAAAAAAGGUAGCAUCCCGAGUGGUGUAAACUCGUUUGGUCGGAGGAUGGUAGCACCUAUAGCCCUUCUGGGUUGAAGAGUAGCCUAUAAACACGCAUUUCAAGGCGCGCGGAUCUAACUUGGAGCGGUUGGGUGCUGAGUUGUGAAUGAAAACCGUGCAACCAAAUACUCGAGGAGGAAGAUCAGCUGAGAAACUGGCAAGAUGGGGAAAAUCUGCCAGAAGAACAUGUCGAGGAAUCUUGAAGUCCAAGACCCUACUGGGCAUGCGAUUGAUUAGGUAUGUGGCUGUUAGAACAGCCUCUCCCCACAAAUGCUUCGGAACAUUGUGUGUAAACAUGAGUGAGCGAGCAACAUCGAGUAAGUGUCUAUUCUUGCGUUCGGCAAUGCCGUUUUGUUGAGGGGUGUCGACGCACGAACUUGCAUGAAUGAUGCCAUGAAGGUGUAAAAAAGAGCCGAGGUCUUUGUUGAAGUAAUCGUGGGCAUUGUCAGUUUUCAAAACCUUGAUGUGAGUCUGAAACUGGGUAGCUACCAUUUUGUGAAAUAGCUGACAAAAUAUGUCUGUUUCGGACUUUUCUUUCAUUAAGAAAGUCCACGUCAUUCUUGUGUGAUGAUCAAUAAAUGUUAUGAACCAACGAGCCUCAUUGAUGUUCUUGACUUUCAUAGGUCCCCAAAUAUCGCUAUGAACUACACUAAAAGGUGUGGUAGGUCGAUAGCCGAUUCUAGGAUACGAAGACGCUUAUGCUUCGCAAGUUGACACACAUCACAUCUCAAAUCUUUUGAACCUUUAUUCUGAAAUAAUGCAGGUAAUAAUUUUUCAAGAAAGUAAAACUGGGAUGACCAAGACGGAAGUGCCACAAUAUGGCUUGAUUCUCAAUGUGUUCAAUACUAGAAACAACAUUAGCACUACUACUAUGGGCUUUACUGGAACUGUCCUCAUCCUGAGUUCCCUUCAACAGGUAGAGACCAUUACGCAUUUCACCACUUCCAAGCAUCUUUCCAGUCUCUACCUCCUAUAACACACAAUCAGGAGAGCGAAUUUUAGCUUCACAAUGAAGAGCAUGCUUUACUUGAUGAAUAGAGAGAAAAUUGCAGUCAAGUUUAUGCACAUAAAGUACUGAACAUAGAGUAAGAUCCUUAGUAACCCUAACAAUGCCUAUUCCUUUUAUCGGUGUUAUUGAGCCAUCGGCAAUCCGGACACCUGAGGUUCUAGGGUAAGGUUUUAAGUGUUGUAUCAACUCCUUACAACCAGUCAUAUGGUCUGUAGCUCCGAAAUUAAGGAUCCAAAUAUUCUGAGAAUUUUGACUAGAACUGUAAGCAGCCGAAGUACCUUAUUUGGCGAACAGACUAGACAUGUAAGAUUUCUUGGGAUCGGCUUUCUCAGUAUUCAUGAGUUGUGAAAAUAAUUUCUUUAGAGUCUCUAACUGUCCAGCUGAAAACUGUGUCGUAUCAUCAGUUUUGGUGGCAACUGUGUUUGCACGAGACUUCUACUUAUUCAAUUUCAGUCUGGGUCUCCAUCCUUGUGGUCCACCAACUAUUUUCCAGCACUCCUUUGUCGUAUGAAAGGGUCGUUGACAAAGAUCACACCAUUUUGAAGUGGCAGCAGAAGUAAGAUUUUGUUUCCCCUUGUUAUGGUUGUUCUUAACGAAGAGAGCCGUGGUUGAGGUCUCAGUUUUUAGGGCUGAACUGCUGGGUUCAGAGGUUGUCUUCGUCUCUGUAACCAUCAGAUGACGCCGACCUUCUUCUCUCAAAACCUCAGCAAACGCCUCCUUCAGACUUGGAAAGGGUUUCGUUCCCAUAACCCUGCUUUUCACAGCACCUAGGUCUUGAUUUAGUCCAAGAAGCAGUUGAACUGUCCUCUUCUUGUCCAUGAAUGUCCGGAAUGUUUUUGCAUCAUUCGGAGUAUCCCACGUCUGAGCUUCAUACAAAUCAAGUUGAAGCCAGGUUCGCACCAGCCGAUUGUAGUACUUCGUAGCACUCAAGUUACCUUGCUUGAAAUUGUAGAGUUUGGACUCAAUUUCGAACAAAGCAGAUGAGUUGUCUUGCGUGGAGUAGGUUUCUUUCACAUCAUCCCAAAGCUCCUUUGCAGAUUGAUGUAGAAGAUAGUUGUCGCCGAUAUCUGGUUCCAUCGUGGAGAUGAGCCAGAACCGAACUUGAUUGUCAUCAUUGUCCCACUUGGUGAAGGCAGCUGAGUCGGAUUCUUCUGGUUUGCUUGCAAUACCAGUAAGAUAUUCCCCUUUCUGUUUCCCAGUGAUGAACAUCCGGACUGACUGAGACCAUUGGAGGUAGUUGUUACCAUUGAAUUUCCUAAUGGACGACUAAGAUCUUUGGAGGUAGUUUUUACCAUUGAAUUUCCUAAUGGAAGCUCCUCCAGAGCCUGGUUCAGAUCCGAAAUUGUUGUUGUUGUUGUUGGCUGCCAUCUCAGUUUCGGAGAUGACAGAAGAAGGAUGAAUGGUGGAAGAAGACGAGUGUUUUGGAAAGGAAGAAGGUGAAACAAUCUUGUUGUCCGUGGUCAUGAUGAACCAACAGUGAUUCGUCUGUGGUCAUGGUGAACCAACGGUGAGAUUAACACCAACGGUAGCGGAAGAUGUAGCCGGCAGCUCUAUUACCAUAUUGAAUUUAUGAGAGAAAACUUUCAAUUGUAUUAAGAUAUGAAGGAUUAUAUAAGGGUUACAUAGGUUUAUAUAGAGUUAGGAUAGGAGAAUCCUUCCUUAACUAUAAAAACUCUAAGUACUAUUUCUAUACUAAUAAAAAAAAAUAUUGAAACUUAUUUCUAUAUUAAUAAAGAAAAUAUAAUAUUUUUCAUUCCAUGCAUUAUUCGUCGUAGAUUCUUAUGCACACACUAAAAAAUUGCUAGUAUAUAUAUUUUGCAGCAUUAUGUGCUGAAAUUUUAGAAUUUUUGUUGCGGAAUCCAAGAAGAACAGUGAAGUCAAGUUAAUUUGAGGCUAUUCUUUGUUUUCAUUCAAGGGUCCCUGAGGACUCUGAGAAUUUGGAUGAUAUUGGUGCCUGAACAUGCUAGUUUGAACAGAAGUCUCGCAGUUGGCUAGUUUUUUUGUAUACUAGGGUCUAGAGGUAUGAAUUUGAUCCAAGUAUGGGAAUAUGUUAUUUCUUAUCUGCAGGUUCUGGAGGCCAUAUUCAACAUUUAGUGUCUUCUAGUUCAUUGGCCUAAGGUUUUGAUGGCUUUUGAAAGGUAUGAUCUUUUGCUCUUUUGACUUCAUGAAGUAAUUUGUUAAAUUUUCAUUGAUUUUUAAGCAAAAGACUUAACCUCUUUCUAAAAAUAAAAAUAAAAAAGUAAACGACGUAACCUACUGUGUUGCUCUCACUUUUAUUCAGUGACUUAUCUAUUUAUUUAUAUAUAUGAUGAUGAAAGUAAAACAUAAAGAACUCAAAGAGAAAUAAGAUGAUAAAACGCUAAUAUGAAACCUUGAGUUAUUUUCUCUUCCGCACCUUGCCUCAUAGCUUCUUCCUCUUCCUUCAAUUUCAAAAUUUUCACCUCUCUGAGAUUUUGCUUUGCCAUAAUCCUUCAAUUGCUCUUGCCUGUCAUCAGUUUUCCUCUUCGUCAGCCAUCUUGGUUCUAUUACCAUUGCCUUCCGCUUGUUGUUGUCAUUGUUUCGAGUCCGGCUCUGUCUUGUCUUCUUCUUCUCCUUUGUUCCAUUACCAUUUACCACAUUCCCCUUCUUCCAGUCCCACCCCAAACGCAUUUGUAAUAACUCAGAAGACUAUAGUAGACGAUGGUUGCCAUUGUUACACAUUGAUGACGACUCUGUUUCACCGUUGCCCUCAACCUCCUCCUUACUGCCGUCGCAUGAUGCCGUCGCAUGACAGCAUGCCAUUAUAGAGCUCAUAAGGAAGAUUCAGUUGAUCUCUCUUUCAUACCUUGCCUCGUAGCUCCUUACUCUUCUUCUUCUUCCUUCAUUGGCAGUUUGGCACACCGGUCAUUUGCAGAAUCCUUUCUCUCUUUUCUCUGAGAUUUUGCUUUGCUAUCAUCUGUCGAUUGUUCUUAGCCUCCCAUCAACUUUUUCCUUUCACAGCCACCUUGGUUCUAUUACUAGCUUCUCCUUGCCGCCCUUGUUGUUUGAGCUCGAGGUGGCUGUCUAUGAAGAAUAAUUUUUAAUAUGAAAUUUUUAGUUCUUCUCUCUUUCACGCCCCACCUCAUUAGCUCCUCCUUAUUAUGUUCUUCAUUCGUUCGUAAAUUCAGAAUUCUCUCUCCUUUCUCUGGCCAUCAAUUUUUCCCUUCAGCGAAAACGAAAGUAGUAUGUCGGCAAACAGUCCCCCAAACUGAUAGAUACACAGGAGAAAGGGGAGGAAUUUAGUGGGACAUAGUCAUGGGUGCAGCGCAGCCACAAGAAGUUGUAAAUCCCGG
rnacentral:lncRNA from 1 species